GCGGCAACAGCUCAAAUUUGAAAUCUGGCCCCCAGGGCCCGAGUUGUAAUUUGCAGAGGAUGCUUUUGGCGCGGUGCCUUCCGAGUUCCCUGGAACGGGACGCCAUAGAGGGUGAGAGCCCCGUCUGGUCGGACGCCUAGCCUGUGUAAAGCUCCUUCGACGAGUCGAGUAGUUUGGGAAUGCUGCUCUAAAUGGGAGGUAUAUGUCUUCUAAAGCUAAAUACCGGCCAGAGACCGAUAGCGCACAAGUAGAGUGAUCGAAAGAUGAAAAGCACUUUGAAAAGAGGGUUAAAUAGUACGUGAAAUUGUUGAAAGGGAAGCGCUUGUGACCAGACUUGGGCCCGGUGGAUCAUCCAGCGUUCUCGCUGGUGCACUCCGCCGGGUUCAGGCCAGCAUCAGUUCGCCGCGGGGGAAAAAGGCUUCGGGAACGUGGCUCCUACGGGAGUGUUAUAGCCCGUUGCAUAAUACCCUGGGGCGGACUGAGGUUCGCGCUCCGCAAGGAUGCUGGCGUAAUGGUCAUCAGCGACCCGUCUUGAAACACGGACCAAGGAGUCGUCUUCGUAUGCGAGUGUUCGGGUGUAAAACCCCUACGCGUAAUGAAAGUGAACGCAGGUGAGAGCUUCGGCGCAUCAUCGACCGAUCCUGAUGUUCUCGGAUGGAUUUGAGUAAGAGCAUACGGGGCCGGACCCGAAAGAAGGUGAACUAUGCCUGUAUAGGGUGAAGCCAGAGGAAACUCUGGUGGAGGCUCGCAGCGGUUCUGACGUGCAAAUCGAUCGUCAAAUAUGG
rnacentral:rRNA from 1 species